rnacentral:rRNA from 1 species
UACGUAGGGUGCGAGCGUUGUCCGGAAUUACUGGGCGUAAAGAGCUCGUAGGUGGUUUGUCGCGUUGUUCGUGAAAACUCACAGCUUAACUGUGGGCGUGCGGGCGAUACGGGCAGACUGGAGUACUGCAGGGGGAGACUGGAAUUCCUGGUGUAGCGGUGGAAGUGCGCAGAUAUCAGGAGGAACACCGGUGGCGAAGGCGGGUCUCUGGGCAGUAACUGACGCUGAGGAGCGAAAGCGUGGGGAGCGAACAGG